rnacentral:rRNA from 1 species
CCCUGCCUUUUGUACACACCGCCCGUCGCUACUACCGAUUGAAUGGCUCAGUGAGGUGUUCGGACUGGCCCAGGGAGGUCGGCAACGACCACCCAGGGCCGGAAAGUUCAUCAAACUGAGUCAUUUAG